AGACUUGAGUUAGACAGAUCUGGAGGACCUAGAUGAAAAUCUGAAAGUGGAAGGUAGCUUGGGUGAAAGUGAUCAUGAAAUGAGAGUUCAUGAUUCU